rnacentral:rRNA from 1 species
UACGGAGGGUGCAAACGUUGCUCGGAAUCAUUGGGCGUAAAGCGCACGUAGGCGGUCGGCUAUGUCGGAUGUGAAAGCCUCGGGCUUAACCCGAGAAGGGCAUCCGAAACUGGCCGGCUUGAGUACGGAAGAGGGUCUCGGAAUUCCCGGUGUAGAGGUGAAAUUCGUAGAUAUCGGGAGGAACACCAGUGGCGAAGGCGGAGACCUGGGCCGAUACUGACGCUGAUGUGCGAAAGCGUGGGGAGCAAACAGG